rnacentral:rRNA from 1 species
GACGAACGCUGGCGGCGUGCCUAAUACAUGCAAGUCGAACGAGAGCGACCGGUGCUUGCACUGGUCAAUCUAGUGGCGAACGGGUGAGUAACACGUGGGUAACCUGCCCAUCAGAGGGGGAUAACAUCCGGAAACGGAUGCUAAAACCGCAUAGGUCUUCGAACCGCAUGGUUUGAAGAGGAAAAGAGGCGCAAGCUUCUGCUGAUGGAUGGACCCGCGGUGCAUUAGCUAGUUGGUGAGGUAACGGCUCACCAAGGCCGUGAUGCAUAGCCGACCUGAGAGGGUGAUCGGCCACAUUGGGACUGAGACACGGCCCAAACUCCUACGGGAGGCAGCAGUAGGGAAUCUUCCGCAAUGGACGCAAGUCUGACGGAGCAACGCCGCGUGAGUGAAGAAGGUGUUCGGAUCGUAAAACUCUGUUGUUAGAGAAGAACAAGUGCUAGAGUAACUGUUAGCGCCUUGACGGUACCUAACCAGAAAGCCACGGCUAACUACGUG